GACGAACGCUGGCGGCGUGCUUAACACAUGCAAGUCGAGCGGUAAGGCCUUUCGGGGUACACGAGCGGCGAACGGGUGAGUAACACGUGGGCGACCUGCCCUCAGCUCUGGGAUAAGCCUGGGAAACUGGGUCUAAUACCGGAUAUGACCACAUGUCGCAUGGUGUGUGGUGGAAAGUUUUUUCGGCUGGGGAUGGGCCCGCGGCCUAUCAGCUUGUUGGUGGGGUGAUGGCCUACCAAGGCGA
rnacentral:rRNA from 1 species